AACGAACGCUGGCGGCAGGCUUUAACACAUGCAAGUCGAGCGCCCCGCAAGGGACCGGCAGACGGGUGAGUAACGCGUGGGAAUCUACCUUUUGCUACGGAAUAACUCAGGGAAACUUGUGCUAAUACCGUAUGUGCCCUUCGGGGGAAAGAUUUAUCGGCAAAGGAUGAGCCCGCGUUGGAUUAGCUAGUUGGUGAGGUAAAGGCUCACCAAGGCGACGAUCCAUAGCUGGUCUGAGAGGAUGAUCAGCCACACUGGGACUGAGACACGGCCCAGACUCCUACGGGAGGCAGCAGUGGGGAAUAUUGGACAAUGGGCGCAAGCCUGAUCCAGCCAUGCCGCGUGAGUGAUGAAGGCCCUAGGGUUGUAAAGCUCUUUCAACGGUGAAGAUAAUGACGGUAACCGUAGAAGAAGCC
rnacentral:rRNA from 1 species